UCAGUUCGCGAAGAGUCUUAUCCUCUUGCAAUGCCAAUCUUGAACUGGGGAUCCUCGGUGGUGGAGGCAACCAAUCCUCAUCUUUUCUCUCCUUUCCACCCUUCUCAUCAUUAUCAUCAUCAUCUAAAACAACAACAUCCUUUCGGUUUGGUUCACCUUCCCAUCCUAAAAAUUCAAAAAAAUCAAAAAAAGAAGAAUCUAACGGACCCAAAACUUCCACAAAACGACAAAAAACCCUAAUCUGAACAAGAUGCAACUCAGUGUACGAUCGGCGGUCUUCUUCCUCUUCAUCCCAGGAAAAAUUGGAACCGAAUCCAGAUCGUCAUCAUCGAAGGAGGGGAAAUCCGUGGGCUGGACACGGCUGUAAUCGAAGAGAGGCUCGAGCUCUUUUCCAGGCUCAUCCUGCCGAACGAAUCAAAGGAGAAAGAGAUGGAAAACUGAGGGAGGGGAAAAAACCUAGAAAAUUUAGCCACAAGGGAAGCAGAGAGCACAGUAAUUCGCAAACCACUGGCGACGAAUUGAUAGCGUUCCAAGGGGGAGACGGCUAUUUGGCGUCGAAACGUUCGCUGAACCGAAGCGGUGGUGGCGGCGGGAGGUGGCUGCGCGCUCGCGGCCGACGAUUUGGGGGGAAGAAACAAGGAAUGUUUUCCUAAUUUCAUAUCGAACGUGAGGGAAGUGCAAUGCACUUGCGAUGAUGCAACGAUGCAAGUGACGGAGCAUGAAUCUCAUAAAGAUUCUUCUUUGACCAGGG
rnacentral:lncRNA from 1 species